UAACGGCGAGUGAAGAGGGAAGAGCCCAAGAUUGAAAGCUGGCGUCUUCGGCGUCCGCAUUGUAAUCUCAAGAAGUGUUUUCCGCUUCGGACCAUGCCUAAGUCCCUUGGAAAAGGGCAUCAUAGAGGGUGAUAAUCCCGUACAUGGCAUGGAGCGCCCGUAGCUUUGUGAUACGCUUUCUAAGAGUCGAGUUGUUUGGGAAUGCAGCUCAAAAUGGGUGGUAAAUGCCAUCUAAGGCUAAAUAUUGGGGAGAGACCGAUAGCGAACAAGUACAGUGAUGGAAAGAUGAAAAGAACUUUGAAAAGAGAGUUAAACAGUACGUGAAAUUGCCAAAAGGGAAGGGUAGGAGGUCAGAGAUGCGGCUUGGGAUUCAGCCUUGCUUUUGCAUGGUGUUUUUCCCCUGUUGCAGGCCAACGUCGGUUUUGGGCACUGGAGAAGGGUGAGAGGAACGUGGCAUCCCUCGGGAUGUGUUAUAGCCUCUCACUGGAUACAGCGACCGAGACCGAGGACAGCAGCGUACUCGCAAGAGCGGGCCUUCGGGCACCUUUACGCUUAGGGCGUUGGCAUAAUGGCCCUCUACCACCCGUCUUGAAACACGGACC
rnacentral:rRNA from 1 species